UGGGGAAUCUUGCGCAAUGGGCGAAAGCCUGACGCAGCAACGCCGCGUGUGUGAUGAAGGUCUUCGGAUCGUAAAGCACUGUCGGGAGGGACGAAUAAGGGUCCGUCUAACAAGCGGAUCCGAUGACGGUACCUCCAAAGGAAGCACCGGCUAACUCUGUGCCAGCAGCCGCGGUAAUACAGAGGGUGCAAGCGUUGUUCGGAAUUAUUGGGCGUAAAGCGCGUGUAGGCGGCCAAGCAAGUCAGGUGUGAAAGCCCUCGGCUUAACCGAGGAAGUGCGCCUGAAACUACUUGGCUUGAGUACCGGAGAGGAUGGUGGAAUUCCCGGUGUAGAGGUGAAAUUCGUAGAUAUCGGGAGGAACACCAGCGGCGAAGGCGACCAUCUGGACGGAUACUGACGCUGAGACGCGAAAGCGUGGGGAGCAAACAGGAUUAGAUACCCUGGUAGUCCACGCUGUAAACGAUGAGCGCUAGGUGUUGCGGGUGUUGACCCCUGCAGUGCCGCAGCUAACGCAUUAAGCGCUCCGCCUGGGAAGUACGGCCGCAAGGCUA
rnacentral:rRNA from 1 species